GUGACCAAUGAGAGUUACUUUUACAACAAACAUCUACACUUACUGUUGGAGGAGAUAUGUUGACAGGGGGCGCAGUUUUAUCAUCCAAUUUCUAACAGACAGGAAAAAGAAACAUCAAGAUGCUGGUGUUUUUGGAUGGAAUUCUGGGUAAUGUUAUUAACAUAGCUCUGAUACAAAUCCCACGACGGAACGGAGGAGAGAAAGGCUCAGCGGUUUGGCAGUUAGGACAGCUAACCUACAGAUCACUGUUUCAGGUCCUCACUGAAAGCAUCAGCCUGGGAUGCUAUGUCUUCUCUGCUAAGAAUCACAGAAUCUGGGACAUGGCUUUGUGCAAGUAUUCCUGACUUUAGCAGGACUGGCGAUUUUACACUGCCGUAUCAUUGCGCGCCUGCGCAAUCAGAGCAAACUCGUGCAGCUGUAAGCUUAAAUUAGUGGAAAGGCACCAAUUAGAUGCUGACAUACUUUACAAAUCAAUACUGUAAACCAACAUUUAUUUACAUGGGAGAAAUUUUCUUGAGGUUUGCGAGAACGUCCUCUUCUCACCUUGAAUAAGUCCUUUGAUGCCUCGUAUUUGCUUAAGAUUAUUCUUGGUCACGAAAAUCAGUAAAGUCUUUAUCACUUGGUAAAUUGCGAGACAAAGUUGUCGCGAAUAAAAGCUGAUUUACAGUGAGUAUAUAUGCUUAAAACUGAAAAACACAUGUCGAAGUAUCUCUUACAUACUGGUAACUGUCACAUGAAGCAUGCCUUAUCUGCACUCUCACUGGAAGAGUUGUGCAUCAAAGUCAACAAGAACAGCUUGUCAAUGAAAUCCAAACAAACAAGUAACAAAUCCUCACCAACUGUUACACUUCACAAUCUCACUGUCUAUUUUAUGAUGCUGAAUCUGAACAAUACACAAAAUCUUUCAGGGAAAACUCCUUUACCAGUGGGCAGUGGUAUCCAAAUUAUUUUUGUAAUAUGAUUAAUGAUUAAACCCAGCUCAUGACUGCUUUUAAAACUUCAAUUAGUAUAGAUUUGAACAGGACAAAGUGAGCACAACAAUGCUGUUCAAUACAAAAUAGGAAUUUCCAUAAAAUGACCUGCAGCAGUGAGGACUGGUACUGCUAUGUUCACACAAAUCUGGACUUAAUGGAAGUUGCUGGAUACGUGCAUAUUCAUACAAAAUCCACCCACUUUUUACACAGAUUAUCAAACCACAUAGAUGUCUAGUACCUAAGGUGAUUUUUAAGUUGAGCACUUGUAUUGAUUUAUUUAUAUAAAUGGUAAACAUUUUACGAAUUCUCCUUCACAAUAGAGAUCAGAUCUGAUUUUCAGAAAUCGCGAUCUGCAUGUAAAUCAAAACAUAAACAAGAAACAUUUUGUAGAUGAACUUUGACCUAUUACUUGUACCAUCCAAUACUUCAACAAAUAUGGAAAUAGCUUUCAGAAUCUGUCAUUACUGCUUUUAUAAAUGGUAUAUAUCAAUUGCUUAAAAAUUCCAAAUAUAUGGUCAAAUUAAGCCUACGCGAUGGUCUCUGGUUGAUUUCACAUUAUUCAAAUGUCAUAUAAAUACUUCCAAUA